AAACCAACAACAAGUCGAACACAAAGCCUUCUCAGUUCCUCAGUUCCCACUUCUCUCUCCUUCGUCCGAUCCCGGUCGGCGGCUUGUUUUCCAUCUUCGACAUCCAAAACAUAAGAUGGAAGUCGGAAGGCGAUCGGCGAUGGAGUACAGCAACACCAAAGUAGGGAAGCCUUUGAAAAUGAAGGUCAAGUUCGUAGACGAUGAGAAGGACGUCGUGAAGGCAUCAGACGCCUUGCCGUUGCCACUGUACAUCACCAACGCUGUGUUCUUCGCUCUCUUCUUCUCCGUCGUCUACUUCUUGCUCACCAGCUGGCGUGAGAAGAUCCGUACCAACACUCCUCUCCACAUCAUCAAUCUCUCUGAGAUCGUAGCUAUUCUAGCCUUUGUAGCCUCCUUCAUCUACCUCCUCGGCUUCUUCGGUAUCGAUUUCGUUCAGUCCCUCAUUCUCCAGCCCAGCAAUGACAUCUGGGCCGCCGACGAUGACGAGGAAGAGAUUAUUCUCAAGGAGGAUGCUCGCAAAGUCCCUUGCGGUCAGGCCCUGGAUUUCUCAAUUACCAAAAUGGCACCUAUUGCUUCACCUGAACCUGCUCCUAAAGUUGCCCCAAAGGUGUUUGAAGAGAAGGCAAUGAUCGAGACCCCACCACCUACUGAAGAAGACGAGGGGAUUAUCAAGGCUGUGGUUGCCGGAACCAUUCCUUCAUACUCACUCGAGACAAAGCUGGGCGACUGCAAGAGGGCAGCUUCUAUUAGGCGUGAGGCUCUACAGAGAGUUACAGGCAAGUCUUUGGAGGGUUUGCCUUUGGAAGGCUUUGAUUACGAGUCAAUCUUGGGUCAAUGUUGUGAAAUGCCUGUUGGAUAUAUUACCAUUCCUGUUGGGAUUGCUGGGCCUCUUAUGCUCAAUGGAAGAGAGUUCUCAGUUCCCAUGGCCACAACUGAGGGUUGCUUGGUGGCCAGUACCAACCGUGGUUGCAAAGCCAUCAACUUGUCUGGUGGAGCUUCCAGUGUCUUUUGAAAGACGGAAUGACCAGAGCACCUGUUGUCAGAUUCAACUCUGCCAAAAGAGCCGCUGAGUUGAAGUUUUUCAUGGAAGACCCUGAAAACUAUGAAACCAUUUCCAUGGUUUUCAACAAAUCUAGCAGAUUUGGUAGACUUCAGACUGUCAAGUGUGCUGUUGCCGGGAAGAACCUUUACAUGAGAUUCACCUGCAGCACAGGUGAUGCUAUGGGGAUGAACAUGGUCUCUAAAGGUGUUCAAAACGUUCUCGAUUUCCUCCAGAAUGACUUCCCUGACAUGGAUGUCAUUGGCAUAUCCGGUAACUACUGCUCAGACAAGAAGCCUGCUGCUGUUAACUGGAUCGAAGGCCGUGGCAAAUCUGUGGUUUGCGAGGCUGUGAUCAAGGGAGACAUAGUGUCAAAGGUGUUGAAAACCAACGUCGCCGCCUUGGUGGAGCUUAACAUGCUCAAGAAUCUUACUGGAUCCGCUAUUGCUGGUGCUCUUGGUGGUUUCAAUGCACAUGCCAGUAACAUUGUUUCAGCCGUCUACCUUGCCACUGGUCAAGACCCGGCUCAAAACAUUGAGAGCUCUCACUGUAUCACCAUGAUGGAAGCUAUCAAUGAUGGAAAGGAUCUGCACGUCUCAGUGACCAUGCCUUCUAUUGAGGUUGGCACAGUAGGAGGAGGAACCCAACUUGCAUCUCAGUCUGCUUGUUUGAACUUGCUUGGAGUGAAGGGUGCUAACAGAGAGGCACCAGGAACAAACGCAAGGCAGUUGGCCAGUGUUGUAGCUGGUUCUGUUCUUGCCGGAGAGCUAUCUCUCAUGUCUGCUAUUGCAGCUGGACAACUUGUUAAGAGCCACAUGAAGUACAACCGAUCAAACAAAGAUGUCACAGCAGUUGCUUCCGCUUAAGAACGUACUACAAGACCCCAAAGCUAGUGCCUUUAAGCGUUAAAAGCCAUAAGAGUUAAUGGUGUGUAUGGGUACAAAUGAUCAUGCCCCAGACUGUUGACAACGGAGCAGGAACAUUUAGAGAUAGUAGUUACUUGCUUAGCAAUCCCUUCAGAUCCCUUCAGAUUUUCCUUGUAAAUUUCUUUGGAAAUCUAAUCAUAUAUCUUACUUUAUAAAGUUGGUACUCAUUAUUAAGUC